UACGUAGGGACCAAGCGUUGUUCGGAUUUACUGGGCGUAAAGGGCGCGUAGGCGGCGCGGUAAGUCACUUGUGAGAUCUCUGAGCUUAACUCAGAACGGCCAAGUGAUACUGCAGUGCUAGAGUGUGGAAGGGGCAAUCGGAAUUCUUGGUGUAGCGGUGAAAUGCGUAGAUAUCUGGAGGAACACCGGUGGCGAAGGCGGCAUCCUGGACCGAGAUUGACGCUGAGGCGCGAAAGCCAGGGGAGCAAACGGG
rnacentral:rRNA from 1 species